CUACGGGAGGCUGCAGUGGGGAAUAUUGGACAAUGGGCGAAAGCCUGAUCCAGCCAUGCCGCGUGUGUGAAGAAGGCCUUCGGGUUGUAAAGCACUUUCAGUGGGGAAGAAAGCCUUGGGGCUAAUACCCUCGAGGAAGGACAUCACCCACAGAAGAAGCACCGGCUAACUCCGUGCCAGCAGCCGCGGUAAUACGGAGGGGGCGAGCGUUAAUCGGAAUUACUGGGCGUAAAGCGCGCGUAGGCGGUCUGAUAAGCCGGUUGUGAAAGCCCCGGGCUCAACCUGGGAACGGCAUCCGGAACUGUCAGGCUAGAGUGCAGGAGAGGAAGGUAGAAUUCCCGGUGUAGCGGUGAAAUGCGUAGAGAUCGGGAGGAAUACCAGUGGCGAAGGCGGCCUUCUGGACUGACACUGACGCUGAGGUGCGAAAGCGUGGGUAGCAAACAGGAUUAGAUACCCGAGUAGUC
rnacentral:rRNA from 1 species